rnacentral:tRNA from 1 species
GCGCACAUGGCGGAAUGGUAGACGCGCCAGCUUGAGGGGCUGGUGGGGAGAUUUCCCUGUGGAAGUUCGAGUCUUCUUGUGCGCA